UGCCUGCAAGGGCGUAUGGUGGAUGCCUUGGCAGACAGGACCGAUGAAGGACGUUGGAGGCUGCGAUAAGCCUCGGGGAGCCGCCAACCGGGCUUUGAUCCGAGGAUUUCCGAAUGGGGAAACCCGCCGGCCGUCAUGGGCCGGCACCGCCUUGUGCGGGGGGUACGCAGGGAAGUGAAACAUCUCAGUACCUGCAGGAAAGGAUAUUCCGUGAGUAGUGGCGAGCGAAAGCGGACCAGGCCAAACCAUGGGCGCGUGAUACCCGUCGGGGGUUGCGCCCGUGGUGUCGUGGGAAGCCCUGUCCCGGCGCCGACGCGCCGGGCGGGAGUCACAAAACCAUGUUCUAGGCGAACCGGGUUGAAUACCGGGCCGCAGAGGGUGAUGGCCCCGUAGCCGUAGGGACAUGGUCUUCCGAUGGGUUCUCCCAAGUAGCACGGGCCCCGUGGAAUCCCGUGCGAAUCCGUGCAGACCGUUGCAUAAGCCUAAAUAUUCCUGUCUGACCGAUAGUGAACGAGUACCGUGAGGGAAAGGUGAAAAGUACCCCGGGAGGGGAGUGAAACAGUCUCUGAAACCAUGCGCCUACGAACCGUCGGAGCCUUUCGGGGUGACGGCGUGCCUAUCGAAAAAUGAGUCUGCGAGUCAGUGGCAUGUGGCGAGGUUAACCCGGGUGGGGGAACCGUAGCGAAGGCGAGUCUUAAAAGGCGUUUGAGUCGCGUGUCCUGGACCCGAAGCGGGAUGAUCUAGCCCUGAGCAGGUUGAAGCGCGGGUAAGACCGCGUGGAGGACCGAACCCACUUAGGUUGAAAACUGAGGGGAUGACUUGGGGCUAGGGGUGAAAGGCCAAUCAAAUUCCGUGAUAGCUGGUUCUCUCCGAAAUGCAUUUAGGUGCAGCGUCGCGUGAUUACGUCCAGGGGGUAGAGCUACUGGAUGCUUGCGGGCCCAUACCGGGUACCAACAGCAACCAAACUCCGAAUACCUGCGACGCGUAUCGCGGCAGUGACUCGGCGGGGGAUAAGCUCCGUUGUGGAAAGGGAGACAGCCCAGAUCGUCGUCUAAGGUCCCGAAGCGUGUGCUAAGUGGGAAAGGAUGUGGAGUCGCAUAGACAGCCAGGAGGUUGGCUCAGAAGCAGCCAUCCUUGAAAGAGUGCGUAACAGCUCACUGGUCUAGUGGUUCCGCGCCGACAAUGUAGCGGGGCUCAAGCACACCACCGAAGACGCGGCAACGGCUUUCGGGCCGUUGGGUAGGAGAGCGUUCCGUCCAGGGGCGAAGCGGCGGCGUGAGCCUGUCGUGGACCGGGCGGAAGUGAGAAUGCAGACAUGAGUAGCGAGAGCGGGGUGAAGAUCCCCGCCGCUGGAUGACCAAGGGUUCCGGGGCCACGUUCAUCGUCCCCGGGUGAGUCGGGUCCUAAGGCGAGGCCGACAGGCGUAGUCGAAUGGAUGAACGGGUCGAUAUUCCCGUACCGGCUUUGGGCCGCCCGGUCCGAGACCGGGGUGCUAACCUCCGGUCCCUCCCUUCGCGUUCCCUUCGGGGUUCGUGGGGGUUGGGCCGUUGGGAACCGCCCGGCAGUAGGGCAGCGCAGGAGUGACACGGACAGGUAGCCGGCCGCGGAGGUGGUUUUCCGUGGUCAAGCACGCAGGCCGUCGUACAGGCAAAUCCGUACGGCGUUCGGCCGAGGUGCGAUGAUGGGGCCGUUAUGGCCGAUAUCCGGUGAUCCUGGCCGUCGAGAAAAGCUUCGGCGCGAGGACCAAUGCCGCCCGUACCCCAAACCGACACUGGUGGUCAGGUAGAGAAUACCGAAGCGAUCGAGCGAAUCCUGGUCAAGGAACUCGGCAAAUUGCUCCCGUUCCUUCGGUUCAAGGGAGACCCCCUGCUGUGAACGGGCUUGCCCCGGGAGCGGCGGGGGG
rnacentral:rRNA from 1 species